rnacentral:tRNA from 1 species
AGGGCUUUAUCUUAAUUUAAAGAGUUUGAGUUGCAAUCAAAGAAUGUAGGUUGAAGUCCUGCAGGUUCUAU